rnacentral:rRNA from 1 species
AACCCUUAUCCCUAGUUGCCAUCAGGUAAAGCUGGGAACUCUGGGGAGACUGCCGGUGAUAAACCGGAGGAAGGCGGGGAUGACGUCAAGUCCUCAUGGCCCUUACAUCCCGGGCUACACACGUGCUACAAUGGCAGGUACAGAGGGCUGCGAAGCCGCGAGGUGGAGCGAAAUCCCAGAAAACCUGUCUCAGUCCGGAUUGAAGUCUGCAACUCGACUUCAUGAAGGCGGAAUCGCUAGUAAUCGCGGAUCAGCACGCCGCGGUGAAUACGUUCCCGGGCCUU